rnacentral:rRNA from 1 species
GAUGAACGCUGGCGGCGUGCCUAAUACAUGCAAGUCGAGCGAACGGACGAGAAGCUUGCUUCUCUGAUGUUAGCGGCGGACGGGUGAGUAACACGUGGAUAACCUACCUAUAAGACUGGGAUAACUUCGGGAAACCGGAGCUAAUACCGGAUAAUAUUUUGAACCGCAUGGUUCAAAAGUGAAAGACGGUCUUGCUGUCACUUAUAGAUGGAUCCGCGCUGCAUUAGCUAGUUGGUAAGGUAACGGCUUACCGAGGCAACGAUGCAUAGCCGACCUGAGAGGGUGAUCAGCCACACUGGAACUGAGACACGGUCCAGACUCCUACGGGAGGCAGCAGUAGGGAAUCUUCCGCAAUGGGCGAAAGCCUGACGGAGCAACGCCGCGUGAGUGAUGAAGGUCUUCGGAUCGUAAAACUCUGUUAUUAGGGAAGAACAUAUGUGUAAGUAACUGUGCACAUCUUGACGGUACCUAAUCAGAAAGCCACGGCUAACUACGUG